GAAGCCCCUGGAGAUAUAGUGCAUUAUCUAGGGGAUAAUCUUCACAGAACCCGCUCCCUUGGUCUCGCCGAGGAUAGUGGGAUCCGCUAAACUCUUAGAGAAAUUCUAUUAAUAAACGAAGUGAAUUGAAAUAUCUUAGUAACUUCAGGAAAAGAAAUCAAACGAGAUUCUAUGAUUAGUGUGAACGAAAGUAGAAAAGCCUAAAUAUUUAUUUAUUAAACAAGUAAAAUGGAUUAAUCUGUUUGAAUAUAGGGGAACCUUCCUCUAAGGCUAAAUAUGAUAUAUAAGCGAUAGUGAAGGAGUACCGUGAGGGAAAUAUCUUUAAAUAGUAGUUUUAUAAGCAGCUCAAGUUAAGUUAAAAAAAAACGAGAGCGUACCUUUUGUAUAAUGGGUCAGCAAGUUAAUAUUAGAUGCGAGCAUAGCACUAUGCCUAGAUAAACCAAUUAUGAAAAAAUGAUAAGUAUCUAAUAUUAGACCCGAAGCCUAGUGAUCUUACCAUGAUCAGGUUUAUAAAAGACCGAACGGGUGAUCGUUGUAAAGAUCUCCGAAGAAUCGUGGUAAGUUAGUGAAAGACAAAACUGACUAGGAUAGCUGGUUUUCCGCGAAACCUAUAUAAGUAGGUAAUUCAAGUAACAUCUUAGCAGGUACAGAACUGUGAUCUCAGGCAAAAUUAUAUUAUUUUAGAUUUCUAAGAUAAUAGUUUUGCAUACAUCGGGGGAUCGUGAAGAUUUUAUCGGUGAGUAUUUGCUCUCGGAAGGGCAAAGAUGAAUAUUGAAUAAUCAGACAUAGUACGAUAAGGUUGUAUGUCAAAAGGGAAACAGCCCAGAACAAGUGUUUAAGGUUCCAAAAUUAUUGUUAAGUGAAAUUAAGGAAGUAUUUUUCAAAUACAACCAGGAAAUAGGCUUAGAAGCGGCCAUUUUUUGAAGACCUACCGGACGAUGUGGGAUAUCGUCUAUGUGGGGAAAACUAUCAAAUUCCGGGGAUCUCCUAAAGCUUCUGAUACCAAGCUAUAUAUGAAAAUAUAUAAGUGGCUGAAGUAAUUACUCAGGUAAGGUAACAAGUCAGAAGAUAUCUGAAAGGAUAAUGGACAAUCGCGGAUCUAAGUCAGACCGGGUAAACGGAUCUGUAAAAGAGCAACGAGUAGACGGUAGUUGACACAAAAGGUCUCCUUUUGUGUUUAAGGUGUACUCUACUGAAUAUAGAAAUAAAUUCUUGAGUCAGAAACCCUUCUUAGCAAAUAAUAAACAUGUAUAUAACAUCGGAUACAUGGGAAGUGUUCCUUCCUGUCUAAUAAGAACAGUAAAAAGAGUAAAUAUUAAUUUUUUAGUUAAUAAAGGUUUAAACUUCACCACCUCUGCACUGCAGAGGGGUCUCAGCCACCUAGCGGCGUCUGAGACUAAGGGUUUAAAUUUUAGUACUGCGUCAACUAUUUUACCGUCAAAAUUAUCUGGUUGAUGAGUAGCUGGGUUUGUAGAUGCUGAAGGUUGUUUCCGUAUUUCUAUUAUUAAAAAUAAAAAUUAUAAGGGCAAUCCUUGAUCUCCGUCUCUUUAUAGUGAAAAAACAAAUGGAUUAGGUAAUACUAUGCCAUUAUCUGUUAGACUCUAUUUCCAAAUAGGGUUACACUUAAAAGAUGAAAAGAUUUUAAAAUUAAUUCAAUCCGUAUUAGGGGUUGGAAAAAUUUAUAAAUCUAAAACUCGGCCAGAUUCAGUAGAACUACAGGUAUCCUCUUUUAAGGAUAUGUCUGCUAUUAUAAAUUUUUUCGAUAAUUAUCCUCUAAUUACUCAAAAAUGGGCAGAUUAUUUACUUUUCAAAAAAGCCUAUGAAUUGAUUCUAAGUAAACAACAUCUUACUGUUGAAGGUUUAAAGACAUUAGUGGCAAUUAAAGCUUUAAUUAAUAAAGGUCUACCAGACCAAUUAAAAGAAGCAUUCCCUAAACUUGAACCUGUUAAUAUGCAAAGAUGUGAAGUUAUUAAAGAAAUACCUGAUCCUAACUGAGUAGCAGGAUUUGCUAGUGGUGAGGGAAGUUUCAUGGUUAGAGUGUUUAAUUCAGCUAACCAUGUAAUAGGUCAUCAGGUACAAUUAAGAUUUCAAAUAACUCAACAGUCUCGAGAUAAAUUUUUAAUGGAGAGACUAGUUAGUUAUUUAGGUUGUGGUUUUAUUUCUGAGCGUGGAGAUAUCGUAGAUUUUCAAGUAACAAAAUUUAUGGAUAUAACUGAUAAGGUAAUUCCGUUUUUUGAAAAGUAUCCUAUAAUUGGAGUUAAAUUGGAUAAUUAUAAUGACUUUUGUAAAGCAGCAAAGCUUAUUGGAGAUAAAAAGCAUUUAACAGUAGACGGCUUAGAACAGAUUAGGCUACUAAAAUCUAAAAUGAACACUCUUAGAGAUAUUAACUAAUAUUAAUAUUCUUUUACAUAACCUAGUAGACAGGUCAAACCUCCCUUUAAAAAAGAUGUGAAAAAUUUUAGGUAUUAGUAGCUUGAUAUCUAAUUCUUUGUAUGUACUAUCUGUUUAUUAUUUGUAUGAUAAAUCUGAUGGUUGUGCGUAACAGAGCACUGGUUCAAUUAUAAAUUAAUGAAAUUUAAUUUAUACAAGUUAAAAGCGCCGAAAAUAUAACGGAUCUAAAACAAUAUACCGACACCUUGUCCAUAGAUAUAAAUAUAUAGGAAGUUAAAGAUUUAUCUUUAAUUUCAUGCUCGGCUCCAAAAAAUAAAAUGUAGCAAAGAUAUUGUAUUUAUGGGGUAGCGGAACGUUGGGGAAAUCUUUGAUUUUUACUUUUUAAGUAAAAAAAUUUUUUAAAUUAGAUAACCCAAGUGAGAAUGCUGACAUGAGUAACGAAAAAGGGGAAUACCCUCGCCUUAAGCUUAUGGAAUUUCUUUAAAGUAACGGCCUCUAAGUUUACAGACCUGCCCUAAAGGAUUAAACGAUGAGAAAAUCUUUCCUUAUGUAAUAACCUUAGAAUUAGAGUACUAAGUGUUCUGGAAAAAAAAUAAGGGUAUUGCAUGGCUGGAAAUAAACUGAAAUAGAUGAUACAGUCUGCAAGUUCCAAAACCGUACCUAGAAACUACCACCAGUAAGCGAGUAGAGAAUACGAAGGCGUUUGAGCUAACAAUCAUUAAGGAACUCGGCAAAUUGACUCCGUAACUGAGGGAUAAGGAGUGCCAUUCUAACUGAUUAAUAUCAGGUUUAGAAGAGGAGGCACAGAAUGGUGUUGUACGACUGUUUAAUUAAAACACAGCACUUUGCGUAAGAUGAUAAAUCGAAGUAUAAAGUGUGCCGUCUGCCCGAUGAUGGAUGGUUAACGGAUUUACUUAGCUGACUAAAACAGGCUAGGUUUUGAAGGAACCCCCAUUCAAUGGCGGCCUUAUCUAUAAGGGUCCUAAGGUAGCGGAAUACCUUGGCCGUUAAAUGCGGUCUUUGCAUGAAUGAUAAAACGAUACAACAGCUGUCUCAAUGAUUGGCUCAGUGAAAUUG
rfam:Diplodia seriata DS_831_scaffold_v01_67, whole genome shotgun sequence.